GAUGAACGCUGGCGGCGUGCCUAAUACAUGCAAGUCGAGCGAACAGACGAGGAGCUUGCUCCUCUGACGUUAGCGGCGGACGGGUGAGUAACACGUGGAUAACCUACCUAUAAGACUGGGAUAACUUCGGGAAACCGGAGCUAAUACCGGAUAAUAUAUUGAACCGCAUGGUUCAAUAGUGAAAGACGGUUUUGCUGUCACUUAUAGAUGGAUCCGCGCCGCAUUAGCUAGUUGGUAAGGUAACGGCUUACCAAGGCAACGAUGCGUAGCCGAGCUGAGAGCGUGAUCGGCCACUCUGGAACUGAGACACGGCCCAGGCUCCUACGGGAGGCAGCAGUAGGGAAUCUUCCGCAAUGGGCGAAAGACUGACGGAGCAACGCCGCGUGAGUGAUGAAGGUCUUCGGAUCGUAAAACGCUGUUAUUAGGGAAGAACAAAUGUGUAAGUAACUAUGCACGUCUUGACGGUACCUAAACAGAAAGCCACGGCUAACUACGU
rnacentral:rRNA from 1 species